AAAAAAUAUUACAAGUACAUUUAGAUCAGACUGAGCUGGUACAAUGCAGAGCAGCUGUUUUGCUGGGGCUUAUUUUCAAUUCAGCACAAUUCAGGAACAGAUGGAAACACGAAAACAAGCCAGCUGUGCUUCACUGCUGUGCAGUGCAUCAAUAAUUAAAUUUGUUUGCACUAACUGUCUAGAACAUGUUCUAUGAAUUGUGUAAAGGUUUCAUUUAGACCGGCUUUUAAGAUCAUUUAAAGCUACAGUGGCUCCAAUUUAGAUCGACAAUUAUUUAUUGACAUUGCACAGGGUACAACAAAAUUAAGUGACAGUCCUUAUGGUGCAUAAAAUGGUAAAAAGAAAAAUAGUGCAAAUUAUUUCUUCACAUAUCCCAAUUUAGGAGGUUGAGGUCCAAAUGCAGGGUUUCAACCCAGCAUGUAUCCAGCUACAGUGACUUCAUGACUGAUCACAUCAGAGGAAGACCCAACCCCAAAGGACACACCAAAGCCCUGAGUCAUCUUAGCAUCAAAGCAGCGAUCUGUAACAGCGGUCACGGUGAUGUCACUUCGCCACCGUGCACCGUGUGUGAACAGGUGGGAGUGCAGAUAACACAGCAGGCCAGUGCGAAUAAACACCCUCUGAUGAAAUACCAUGUCUCAGGGACAGAAACAGGGCUAGAGUCUCCACGCUGGGCAAGUGGGAGGGAGAGAUCUGCCAACAACCAGCUGGCGUGCGAUCUCCGAGCCACGAGCUGAGUGUUUUUCUUACACUUUUUCACCGAGCAAAACAUCUAACCAAGACGGUGCACGCAGUGUGGAGGAGUGUGUGAAAGUUGAACAUGCAGUAAACACUGCUGCUUGCAUGCAGAGAGAAGCACAUAAUUAGCAUUACCCCGAUCUGUCGAUAUUAACCCUUGACUUGCACCUGUGAAUGGCUUUCACCUCCAGUGCCUUGGCUGCAGUUGCCAUAACAACUGCCAUGGCAACUGAGAGCAUGUGACAUCAUCAGGUGUGAGUCACCAGGGUGCUAUGGGUGCAGAUGUUUUUUGGGACAGAUUGGCAUUAAACAAGGACGAAAGACAAAAUCUUCCCUUUUUUUUAGUUUGUAAUGGAGAAGAAAAACUGUUUUAAUUUAUUAUUAUUAUUUUAGCAUUUAUUACAUAUGACAGUUUAGUCAAUCGGUUAUAAUUAUUAUGGAUGAUAAUAUACAAAUCAUGUACAAAUUAUUAUGGAUGAUAAUAUACAAAUCAUGUACAAAUCAUGUUUAUAUUAAAUACUAUAUUCAAUAUGUGAAUUAAUACAAAGGCCCAUGCUGAGCAAAAUGAAUUAUGUGACCGUGCACACAAUAAAAUAUUCAGGAUGUACAAGCUAAACAGAUGUACAGGCACUGACGUCUUAACAUAAAAAAAAAAAAAAAGACAAAAUUACAAAAGUUCUCUUUUCACAAAAACUACGUGCUUUACCAAAUUUAGGCUGGCCAAAAAUAAAUAAAUAAAUUCAUACUGUAAAAUGAGCUGUGGAGAAAAGAAAACCAAUGAAUUACUUCCUUAUUAUCUGAAAAUAAUGUCAUCGUAAUUAAUAAUUUAUUUUCGUUAACGCUAAAUUAGAGAGUUACAAGAUAACUAGCUAAAUAGCUAGUUAGCUUGUUUAUUAGCAUUACAGAGUUACAAGAUAAUUAGCUAUAAGCUAGCGUGUUACAAGCUAACAAUCUAGCUAUUUAGCUGUUUAUUUCACUUCUCCAGUUACAAAUCCUAUAA